ACACGACUACAUUAGAUACCCCUGUAGUCCUAGCCGUAAACGAUACUCGCUAGGUGUCGGCCACGGUGCGACCGUUGUCGGUGCCGUAGGGAAGCCGUGAAGCGAGCCACCUGGGAAGUACGGCCGCAAGGCUGAAACUUAAAGGAAUUGGCGGGGAGCACAACGACGGGUGGAGCUUGCGGUUUAAUUGGAUUCAACGCCGGAAAUCUUACCGGGACCGACAGCAACAUGAAGGCCAAGCUGAAGACUUUGCCGGAUUAGCUG
rnacentral:rRNA from 1 species